rnacentral:rRNA from 1 species
UACGGGGGGGGCAAGCGUUGUUCGGAAUUACUGGGCGUAAAGGGCUCGUAGGCGGCCAACUAAGUCAGACGUGAAAUCCCCAGGCUCAACCUGGGAACUGCGUCUGAUACUGGAUGGCUUGAAUUCGGGAGAGGGAUGCAGAAUUCCAGGUGUAGCGGUGAAAUGCGUAGAUAUCUGGAGGAAUACCGGUGGCGAAGGCGGCAUCCUGGACCGGCAUUGACGCUGAGGCACGAAAGCGUGGGGAGCAAACAGG